rnacentral:ncRNA from 1 species
AUGGAGAAUGCCGAAAAUCCAAAAUAGAGUAGGUA